rnacentral:misc_RNA from 1 species
GAUGAAGAACGCAGCGAAAUGCGAUAAGUAAUGCGAAUUGCAGAAUCCGUGAGUCAUCGAAUCUUUGAACGCACAUUGCGCCCCCUGGUAUUCCGGGGGGCAUGCCUGUCCGAGCGUCAUUGCUGCCCUCAAGCACGGCUUGUGUGUUGGGCCCCGUCCUCCGAUCCCGGGGGACGGGCCCGAAAGGCAGCGGCGGCACCGCGUCCGGUCCUCGAGCGUAUGGGGCUUUGUCACCCGCUCUGUAGGCCCGGCCGGCGCUUGCCGAUCAACCCAAAUUUUUAUCCAGGUUGACCUCGGAUCAGGUAGGGAUACCCGCUGAACUUAAGCAUAUCAAUAAGCGGAGGA